AACUCAUGUUGAGGACACUUUCGCAAAAGGUCAUUGAAUCGUUCCCAUGUCACAUAAAACAAUUCUAUCGCUAUCUGAAUAUAUGAAGAAAUCUCAUUUCUAAGCUU